rnacentral:rRNA from 1 species
UCCUACGGGACGCAGCAGUAGGGAAUUUUCGUCAAUGGGCGCAAGCCUGAACGAGCAAUGCCGCGUGAACGAGGAAGGUCUUCGGAUCGUAAAGUUCUGUUGAAGGGGAAAAAGAGCGGAGAGAGGAAAUGGUCUCCGAUUGAUAUUACCCUUCGAGGAAGUCACGGCUAACUACGUGCCAGCAGCCGCGGUAAUACGUAGGUGGCGAGCGUUAUCCGGAAUGAUUGGGCGUAAAGGGUGCGUAGGCGGCCUGCUAGGUCUGGAGGGAAAGGUACCGGCCCAACCGGUACAUGCUCUGGAAACUG